AUCGAACGCUGGCGGCAGGCUUAACACAUGCAAGUCGAGCGGAGAUGAGGUGCUUGCACCUUAUCUUAGCGGCGGACGGGUGAGUAAUGCUUAGGAAUCUGCCUAUUAGUGGGGGACAACAUUCCGAAAGGAAUGCUAAUACCGCAUACGUCCUACGGGAGAAAGCAGGGGAUCUUCGGACCUUGCGCUAAUAGAUGAGCCUAAGUCGGAUUAGCUAGUUGGUGGGGUAAAGGCCUACCAAGGCGACGAUCUGUAGCGGGUCUGAGAGGAUGAGCCGCCACACUGGGACUGAGACACGGCCCAGACUCCUACGGGAGGCAGCAGUGGGGAAUAUUGGACAAUGGGGGGAACCCUGAUCUAGCCAUGCCGCGUGUGUGAAGAAGGCCUUAUGGUUGUAAAGCACUUUAAGCGAGGAGGAGGCUACUGAGACUAAUACUCUUGGAUAGUGGACGUUACUCGCAGAAUAAGCACCGGCUAACUCUGUGCCAGCAGCCGCCGUAA
rnacentral:rRNA from 1 species